ACAGAGUAAGACUCUGUCUCAAAAAAAAUAAAAAAGGAAACCAUCAGCACCACUUCUAAUACUUUCUGCCAAAGGGGCUGAAAACAAGAAUCUGCUGUCAGGGAUCUGGGUCAGUAAGAAUGAGUGAGUGAAGAGGAAGGAGGAAAAACCAAGACAUGACAACCUUUAGAGAAGCAAAAAUAAAACUCUAAUGUGGAAACUGCUGAAAAUAGACUGCCUGGGCUGUCAGACUGCAUGCAAAUCUCAUGCUAAUCACAUGGAAAUUAAUUACAAGUCCUAACUUCCAUAUGUCUCGAUAUGACCCUUGGGGGAAAUCCUGCUGCAAGUGUCUACUCCCCACCACAGACGAGUGAGUGGAACACAGGCUUCGAUGUCGCCUCCUUCAUACUCGGCUCUUGCCACUGCAGUGAGAGGAGGCUAAAAAUAUUAACAAUAGAAAUUUGAUUUCUUCUUUCAGACAAAAAGCCUUGGCAUCCACGGGAGGAAGAAGUGUUCAGGCAGCAUGUGACUGGUUAUUCUCCCACGUCGGUGACCCCUUCCUGGAUGACCCCCUGCCCGGGAGUACGUCCUCUACCUCCGUCCCACCGGCCCCUUAGCACAGAAGCUUUCCGACUUUUGGCAGCAGUCGAAGCAGAUCUGCGGGAAGAACAAGGCACACAACAUCUUCCCACACAUCACACUCUGCCAGUUCUUUAUGUGCGAGGACAGCAAGGUGGAUGCCCUGGGGGAAGCUCUGCAGACCACGGUCAGUCGCUGGAAAUGUAAGUUCUCGGCCCCGCUGCCCCUGGAGCUCUAU